CACCUACGUCUACAGAUAGAAACUAUUCACAAUAAUGAAGACUUUACUAACCCUCUCUAUGUUAAUGAUAUGGCUUUCAGGUGUCCAGUCCGCAGAACAACUUAGCCAAUCAGAGCCAGCGGUGAUAAAGCCGGGGAACUCUCACACAAUGACCUGUACAGCUUCUGGAUUCACUUUUAGCAGCUACUGGAUGGGCUGGGUCAGGCAGAUUCCUGGUAAACCAUUGCAAUGGCUGUGUGCUAUUACCAGCGAUGGGGGUACCACAUAUUAUCAUAAUGAUGUUAAAGGAAGAUUCACAGUCUCCAGAGAUAACAGUAAAAACAUGUUAUAUCUGAAAAUGGACAACAUGAAAACUGAAGACUCUGCUGUCUAUUACUGUGCAAGAGACACAGCGAUUGAAAACAGCUCUUUGUGCAACAAAAACUAGCCAUUCCUUUCUCAA